rnacentral:rRNA from 1 species
CACUCUAGAGAGACUGCCAGGGAUAACCUGGAGGAAGGUGGGGAUGACGUCAAAUCAUCAUGCCCCUUAUGCUUAGGGCUACACACGUGCUACAAUGGGUAGUACAGAGGGUUGCCAAGCCGUAAGGCGGAGCUAAUCCCUUAAAGCUACUCUCAGUUCGGAUUGUAGGCUGAAACUCGCCUACAUGAAGCUGGAGUUACUAGUAAUCGCAGAUCAGAAUGCUGCGGUGAAUGCGUUCCCGGGUCUUGUACACACCGCCCGUCACACCACGGGAGUUGGAGACGCCCGAAGCCGAUUAUCUAACCUUUUGGAAGAAGUCGGCGAAGGUGGAAUUAAUAACUGGGGUGAAGUCGUAACAAGGUAGCCGUAUCGGAAGGUGCGGCUGGAUCACCUCCUUUCUAAGGAGA